UACGGAGGGUGCAAGCGUUGCUCGGAAUUAUUGGGCGUAAAGGGUAGGUAGGUGGUCUUAUUUGUCUGAGGUGAAAGCCUUGAGCUUAACUCAAGAAGUGCCUCAGAAACGGUAAGACUGGAGUCCUGGAGAGGGUCGUGGAAUUCCCGGUGUAGCGGUGAAAUGCGUAGAGAUCGGGAGGAACACCAGAGGCGAAGGCGGCGACCUGGACAGGCACUGACACUCAACUACGAAAGCGUGGGAAGCAAACAGG
rnacentral:rRNA from 1 species